rnacentral:rRNA from 1 species
UACGAAGGGGGCUAGCGUUGUUCGGAAUUACUGGGCGUAAAGCGUGCGCAGGCGGCUUCUCAAGUCAGGGGUGAAAGCCCAGAGCUCAACUCUGGAAUUGCCUUUGAGACUGUGAAGCUUGAGUACGAGAGAGGUGAGUGGAAUUCCCAGUGUAGAGGUGAAAUUCGUAGAUAUUGGGAAGAACACCGGUGGCGAAGGCGGCUCACUGGCUCGUAACUGACGCUCAUGCACGAGAGCGUGGGGAUCAAACAGG